UACGGAGGGUGCUAGCGUUGUUCGGAAUGACUGGGCGUAAAGGGCGCGUAGGCGGUUAUGUUAGUUAGAUGUGAAAUCCCAGGGCUUAACCUUGGAAUUGCAUUUAAUACUGCAUGACUUGAGAUCGGAAGAGGAAAGCGGAAUUCCUAGUGUAGAGGUGAAAUUCGUAGAUAUUAGGAGGAACAUCAGAGGCGAAGGCGGCUUUCUGGUCCGCAUCUGACGCUGAGGCGCGAAAGCGUGGGGAG
rnacentral:rRNA from 1 species